rnacentral:tRNA from 1 species
GGAAGCAUGGCUCAGUGGUAGAGCCACAUCUUUGCAUGCAGAAGGUUCCAGGUUCAAUCCCUGGCAUCUCCA